AACACGUGGAUAAUCUACCCGACAGUCCGGGAUAACAUUUCGAAAGGGAUGCUAAUACCGGAUAAGCUCACGACGUCUUCGGACGAUGUGGGAAAAGGUGGGGACCUUCGGGCCUGCCGUUGUCGGAUGAGUCCGCGUCCCAUUAGCUAGUUGGUAGGGUAAUGGCCUACCAAGGCUACGAUGGGUAGCUGGUCUGAGAGGAUGAUCAGCCACACUGGAACUGAGACACGGUCCAG
rnacentral:rRNA from 1 species